rnacentral:misc_RNA from 1 species
CUUUGUCUCAGCUCCAUCUGGAUUCUCCAUCUCUUCACACCAGCAAACAAAUUAGGGUCUCAAUUACUCAAGUAACAGUACCUCUGGAUCAAAAAGUGUCGAAAACGGCUAGAAGCGGAGAAGAAACCUUCGGGUUCUCUCUCCUCUUACCUCACCACUGAGGCCACUUCUCUCUACUUUUUAAUCGCGGCACAUACCUGACUUCACCAGAGUCCCUCUCUAUC